rnacentral:lncRNA from 1 species
AACUAUCCAGUUGUAGCCAAAACACAAGUUGUGCACGUCACCCACUCCAAUAAAAUAGAAAAAGGCAGCAGCCUUUCCCCUCCUUCAUUAAACUAUAUCUUCCAUGAGGAAAGAAGAAACGUCUUGCAUCUUUGGAAUAAAAUAGUACAAGAAAAAAAGUGCUUCUGGAGUGAAAGCUUCUGAUUGAAAUACUUACGAGGAAACAAAUUUCAAUGAUGUUGGCUCAAAGUUUGAGUGAUAAUCUAAAACGCCCAUUUAUGGUAUUUCAGAUUUUUCUGAAUUGAGUAUUAUUUGUAUACUGUUGUUUGCUACUCCAAUGGAAAGUUGCUUCAUCAUUUAUAUCUAUUUUGAGUUUCUGAUGCAAACAAAUGCAGAGAUAGCAAUGCCAACAUCUACACAUUCCUGUUUGGAGAACCAGAGCACGGAUCCAAAGAAGAUAAGACAUGUAAGUCGAAGUCAAAGUGACAAAGAAGAAGAAGAACAAGAGCUAAUGUUUUCCCUAUUUUAUCCCUCAACAAAGAGCUGUGGAUGGGGGAAAAGCAGCAUAUGGGGAGCCACUGCUAUAUGUGUAGCAUGUGUUCAGGCUUCAACUGUUAGUUUUUUAACUAAGUUAACUUUGGACCAAGCCUGUUUAUAAUGCAGCUUUUCAUUUUAUCCUAUGCGUCGAGGGUCAAUUGGAAACAGCCUCUCUGUCCUUUCGGGCAGGGGUAAGGCUCGUCUACAUAUUACCCUCCCCAGACCCCACCUGUUGGGAAUAUACUGGGUAGUUGUUGUUGUUGUUGUUGUAAUGGGGAUGUUUCCUGCUAACUGGAAUACACUAAGGACGCACUUGAAUUUUAGUUAAAAACUCUACUCUUAAAUAACAUCUCAAAAUUUCUCUUAGAAUCUUGUGGUUUUAAAUAUGUUAUGCAAUUCUUAUAAGGACAUGUCACCAAGGGUAAACUGAGAAUUUUGAAUUAAAAACUUACGAAAUAUUAAAAUGUGGCAUUCUU